AUGACCUUCAUCAUCAUCUUCAUCUGGACUCUCACAGCGUUUGCUCAAGAGUGUAGAGGACAGAUCACCGUCACUCAGAGUCCCUCAAUGACAGCAGCUCAACCAGGACAAACUGUGAACAUCAACUGUAAAACCAGCAGUAAUGUGUACAGAUAUAAUGAUGGGGAUGAAGCUUUAUUCUGGUACUUACAGAAACCUGGAGAAGCUCCUAAACUCCUGAUUUAUUGGGCCAACCGCCGUCAGUCAGGAACUCCAUCUAGAUUCAGUGGCAGUGGAUCUAACAGUGAUUUCACUCUGACCAUCAGUGGAGUCCAGACUGAAGAUGCUGGACAUUAUUACUGUCAGAGUGUACACUGCAUAACUAAUUGGCUUGGUGUUUGUAAUGCUGAUUAUGUGUUCACACAGUGAUAAAGAGUCGUACAAAAACCUCCGUCAGUCAGAGUCACAGUGACUGAACUGAUACUGCAGCUGCUCACACACUUUCACACACUUUCACACACUACUGACACACAGAGGACAAACACAGGAACUACACAUGUGCUCAAAACUGACUUAUGACUGAAAUC